UUGAAAAUUUGAAAUUUAAAAAAAACAAAAAUUAAUGUACAAACCAACCGGUUUUCAACCGGUUUUGACCGAUUCUAUUGCAUAUGCGGUAUAACAUACGUACCGUACCGGUUAGGGGUCCGGUUCACCGGUUUUCCGGUUGAACCGGCCGGUACGGCACGGUUUUCAAAACUAUGAUUUCAGGUACUUGGCAAUGAGUAUAAAAGGCCGAAUUGGGUGAGCUUCCUAUGCCACUUUUCAACGGUUCAAGCAGCUGGUUGUAUGAGUGUAUGAUUGCUCUUUGGUCAAUUUGUGAUAUGAGUGUAUGGGCAUUCUGAUAUCCUUCGAGAUGACUUCUUUAUAGCUGAGUAUGAGCCCUCUUGGUGUGUAAAAAUAAACCCCUUGGGACUGCCCAUUGAGGUUUUUUUUCUGUUUUAAUGCAUUAAAAUUAGUCUUUUCAUUUCUGAUUCUCUCCCCUUUAAAACUGCUCUUUAUUGUCAUUUAUGCUAUUUGAUUGGGAGGAUUGUAACUGAGAUGCUGCCACACAUUUGUUAACUGCCCCUUUCUUGCAAUUCUGAUGACUCAUGGCUGUCCUUAUUCCUCUGAAUCCUUCCCAUAACUGCUCUAAUUGUAACUUCCUUGGUUUUGGGUUAUGCAGGUUUUGAAGCUGCUGGUUAGACUGUUCAUCUAGAAACCCCUCAUUGAAUAGAGAGGCAGUAUAAUCAACAAGUUGUCUCAGCUUUGUAGGAAGAUAUUAUCUUGAAUCAAGGCCAUCAAGGGUCCUGUCACAAGCCCCCCUUUGCAACAACAACAAUUUCUGGUGCCCGGCAGGUUAAAAACUUGAAAAACAUUGAAAUAAUCUUUGCCCUCAACUCAGACUGAUUUGUAGUUCUAAAUUAUGCCCAUGCCAUUUCCAUACGGAGCAGCUCAAUGCAAGCUGUUCGAAGUUCAGUCAUUGCGUUGAAUUUCUUGCUGAAAUUAAAAGCAUCACCGCAACCAUUACAGUAGAUGUAUGACAAUUUUUGUCUAAAAUUACAUAGCUUACUUUAUUUUAAAUUAGAUUAUUACGUAUCUUAGAGGUUAACAGAAUCAGUUUUUAUGUGAACAUAAACAGUUUUGCAUCAUUGGGACUAUUUUUCUCAAGUAAGUGUUCUUUUUUCUCUCCAUUUUGUGCAUUAUUGUUUCAAUUUUCUCACUGUUAAGACUAGUU